CCACCCAUUUAAUAUUGGGGUGUCCUAGAGCUCAACCCAUGGUCUGCUGAUCAAUAUCUGCUCCCAUUGGAGACUUGUUCUAGGCUCAUGUUUUAAAUACUGUUUUAUGACAACGACUUUAAAUGGCUGCUUCCAGCCCAUAAUUCCUUCUGAGUUCUAGAUUACAGACUAGCUGUCUACACAGUAUCUGCAACUGGAAAAGAACAUUUCUACAUGAACUCUGGGUCUGCCUACCCAGCCUGCUCCCUUCAGCUUUCUUGUCUCUGUGGAUGGUAACUAAGAAGAGCAGUUAAUAAAGCCAGAAAAUAAAUAGAGGUUAGCUCACACAGGGACCUGCACGGAGGCUGAACUUUCUCCGAGGACAAUGCAAAGAUACACCUAUUGUUUGGAACCUGCUCAUCGAAGUAGAACUGGCUGACCAUGGCUGGAGCCUCCAAAGCCAUCAGCCCAAGCCACCAUUCUUUAUACUGAACAUUCUGCACAUGGAUAAAAACAAACAAACAAACAAACAAACAAACAAACAGGUAAACAAAACCUAGCUAAAAUGAACAACGAA
rnacentral:lncRNA from 1 species